rnacentral:rRNA from 1 species
AACGAACGCUGGCGGCAGGCUUAACACAUGCAAGUCGAACGCUCCGCAAGGAGAGUGGCAGACGGGUGAGUAACGCGUGGGAAUCUACCUAGUUCUACGGAACAACACAGGGAAACUUGUGCUAAUACCGUAUACGCCCUACGGGGAAAGAUUUAUCGGAAUUAGAUGAGCCCGCGUAAGAUUAGCUAGUUGGUGGGGUA